rnacentral:rRNA from 1 species
AGAGUUUGCUCCUGGCUCAGGACGAACGCUGGCGGCGCGCCUAACACAUGCAAGUCGAACGAGCGAGAGAGAGCUUGCUUUCUCGAGCGAGUGGCGAACGGGUGAGUAACGCGUGAGGAACCUGCCUCAAAGAGGGGGACAACAGUUGGAAACGACUGCUAAUACCGCAUAAGCCCACAGCUCGGCAUCGAGCAGAGGGAAAAGGAGCAAUCCGCUUUGAGAUGGCCUCGCGUCCGAUUAGCUAGUUGGUGAGGUAAUGGCCCACCAAGGCGACGAUCGGUAGCCGGACUGAGAGGUUGAACGGCCACAUUGGGACUGAGACACGGCCCAGACUCCUACGGGAGGCAGCAGUGGGGAAUAUUGCACAAUGGGGGAAACCCUGAUGCAGCGACGCCGCGUGGAGGAAGAAGGUCUUCGGAUUGUAAACUCCUGUUGUUGAGGAAGAUAAUGACGGUACUCAACAAGGAAGUGACGGCUAACUACGUGCCAGCAGCCGCGGUAAAACGUAGGUCACAAGCGUUGUCCGGAAUUACUGGGUGUAAAGGGAGCGCAGGCGGGAAGACAAGUUGGAAGUGAAAUCUAUGGGCUCAACCCAUAAACUGCUUUCAAAACUGGUUUUCUUGAGUAGUGCAGAGGUAGGCGGAAUUCCCGGUGUAGCGGUGGAAUGCGUAGAUAUCGGGAGGAACACAGUGGCGAAGGCGGCCUACUGGGCACCAACUGACGCUGAGGCUCGAAAGUGUGGGUAGCAGACAGGAUUAGAUACCCUGGUAGUCCACACGGUAAACGAUGAUUACUAGGUGUUGGAGGAUUGACCCCUUCAGUGCCGCAGUUAACACAAUAAGUAAUCCACCUGGGGAGUACGACCGCAAGGUUGAAACUCAAAGGAAUUGACGGGGGCCCGCACAAGCAGUGGAGUAUGUGGUUUAAUUCGACGCAACGCGAAGAACCUUACCAAGUCUUGACAUCCCUUGACGAACAUAGAAAUAUGUUUUCUCUUCGGAGCAAGGAGACAGGUGGUGCAUGGUUGUCGUCAGCUCGUGUCGUGAGAUGUUGGGUUAAGUCCCGCAACGAGCGCAACCCUUACUGUCAGUUACUACGCAAGAGGUCUCUGGCAGGACUGCCGUUGACAAAACGGAGGAAGGUGGGGAUGACGUCAAAUCAUCAUGCCCUUUAUGACUUGGGCUACACACGUACUACAAUGGCGUUAAACAAAGAGAAGCAAGACCGCGAGGUGGAGCAAAACUCAGACACAACGUCCCAGUUCGGACUGCAGGCUGCAACUCGCCUGCACGAAGGCGGAAUUGCUAGUAAUCGUGGAUCAGCAUGCCACGGGAAUAGUUCCGGGGCCUGUACACACCGCCCGUCA